rnacentral:rRNA from 1 species
GAUGAACGCUGACAGAAUGCUUAACACAUGCAAGUCAACUUGAACUUCGGUUUGGGUGGCGGACGGGUGAGUAACGCGUAAAGAACUUGCCUCACAGCUAGGGACAACAUUUGGAAACGAAUGCUAAUACCUGAUAUUAUGAUUAUAUGGCAUCGUAUAAUUAUGAAAGCUAUAUGCGCUGUGAGAGAGCUUUGCGUCCCAUUAGCUAGUUGGAGAGGUAACAGCUCACCAAGGCGAUGAUGGGUAGCCGGCCUGAGAGGGUGAUCGGCCACAAGGGGACUGGGACACGGCCCUUACGCCUACGGGAGGCAGCAGUGGGGAAUAUUGGACAAUGGACCGAGAGUCUGAUCCAGCAAUUCUGUGUGCACGAUGAAGUUUUUCGGAAUGUAAAGUGCUUUCAGUUGGGAAGAAAAAAAUGACGGUACCAACAGAAGAAGUGACGGCUAAAUACGUG